AAAUUGAAGAGUUUGAUCAUGGCUCAGAUUGAACGCUGGCGGCAGGCCUAACACAUGCAAGUCGAACGGUAACAGGAAGCAGCUUGCUGCUUUGCUGACGAGUGGCGGACGGGUGAGUAAUGUCUGGGAAACUGCCUGAUGGAGGGGGAUAACUACUGGAAACGGUAGCUAAUACCGCAUAACGUCGCAAGACCAAAGAGGGGGACCUUAGGGCCUCUUGCCAUCGGAUGUGCCCAGAUGGGAUUAGCUAGUAGGUGGGGUAACGGCUCACCUAGGCGACGAUCCCUAGCUGGUCUGAGAGGAUGACCAGCCACACUGGAACUGAGACACGGUCCAGACUCCUACGGGAGGCAGCAGUGGGGAAUAUUGCACAAUGGGCGCAAGCCUGAUGCAGCCAUGCCGCGUGUAUGAAGAAGGCCUUCGGGUUGUAAAGUACUUUCAGCGGGGAGGAAGGGAGUAAAGUUAAUACCUUUGCUCAUUGACGUUACCCGCAGAAGAAGCACCGGCUAACUCCGUGCCAGCAGCCGCGGUAAUACGGAGGGUGCAAGCGUUAAUCGGAAUUACUGGGCGUAAAGCGCACGCAGGCGGUUUGUUAAGUCAGAUGUGAAAUCCCCGGGCUCAACCUGGGAACUGCAUCUGAUACUGGCAAGCUUGAGUCUCGUAGAGGGGGGUAGAAUUCCAGGUGUAGCGGUGAAAUGCGUAGAGAUCUGGAGGAAUACCGGUGGCGAAGGCGGCCCCCUGGACGAAGACUGACGCUCAGGUGCGAAAGCGUGGGGAGCAAACAGGAUUAGAUACCCUGGUAGUCCACGCCGUAAACGAUGUCGACUUGGAGGUUGUGCCCUUGAGGCGUGGCUUCCGGAGCUAACGCGUUAAGUCGACCGCCUGGGGAGUACGGCCGCAAGGUUAAAACUCAAAUGAAUUGACGGGGGCCCGCACAAGCGGUGGAGCAUGUGGUUUAAUUCGAUGCAACGCGAAGAACCUUACCUGGUCUUGACAUCCACGGAAGUUUUCAGAGAUGAGAAUGUGCCUUCGGGAACCGUGAGACAGGUGCUGCAUGGCUGUCGUCAGCUCGUGUUGUGAAAUGUUGGGUUAAGUCCCGCAACGAGCGCAACCCUUAUCCUUUGUUGCCAGCGGUCCGGCCGGGAACUCAAAGGAGACUGCCAGUGAUAAACUGGAGGAAGGUGGGGAUGACGUCAAGUCAUCAUGGCCCUUACGACCAGGGCUACACACGUGCUACAAUGGCGCAUACAAAGAGAAGCGACCUCGCGAGAGCAAGCGGACCUCAUAAAGUGCGUCGUAGUCCGGAUUGGAGUCUGCAACUCGACUCCAUGAAGUCGGAAUCGCUAGUAAUCGUGGAUCAGAAUGCCACGGUGAAUACGUUCCCGGGCCUUGUACACACCGCCCGUCACACCAUGGGAGUGGGUUGCAAAAGAAGUAGGUAGCUUAACCUUCGGGAGGGCGCUUACCACUUUGUGAUUCAUGACUGGGGUGAAGUCGUAACAAGGUAACCGUAGGGGAACCUGCGGUU
rnacentral:rRNA from 1 species